GCUGAACAUCAAGAGAGGAGCAUCAGUUCACUGAGGGACAAAGAGAAGAAAUAGACAAACUGCUGGAGGAAAAUAAUUCAUCUGACAGCAAAGAUGCAGUGGAGUCUGAUUCUGCUCUUCCUGAUGGCUCAGUGUUGUUUCAUGGACUGUCAGCUCUAUCAGUUUCACUACAUUAAUGAGAAUAAGAACUGGACUGAAGCUCAGCAGUACUGCAUAAAGAAUCACACUGACCUGGUCACAGUGACUAACAUGAAGGACAUGAAGAGACUCAUCAACAUCUCAGCU